rnacentral:SRP_RNA from 1 species
GCCGGGCAUGGAGGUGCGUGCCUGUAAUCCCAGCUAUUCGGAGGCUGAGGCAGGAGAAUCACUUGAACCCGGGAAGUGGAGGUUGCAGUGAGCCGAGGCUGGGCCACUGCAUUCCCAGCCUGGGCAACAGAGAGAGACUCCAUCUCAA